rnacentral:rRNA from 1 species
CGCGCAGGCGGCUUGGCAAGUCGGGUGUGAAAUCCCGGGGCUCAACCCCGGGACUGCAUUCGAUACUGUCAGGCUAGAGGUAGGUAGGGGAGAUCGGAAUUCCUGGUGUAGCGGUGAAAUGUGCAGAUAUCAGGAGGAACACCGGUGGCGAAGGCGGAUCUCUGGGCCUUACCUGACGCUCAGGCGCGAAAGCUAGGGGAGCGAACA